CAGUGAAAAACAACGUUUCGACCAGAAUUUCUGGCCCUCUUCAGGUUUCAAGUUAGUAUACUCUCAGCGUGAAACACCAUCCUUCAGUCCUUGGUGUGAGCAAUAAUUAUAGUGCAGUUUGUUCCGCCAGGUAAUAAUCAAUAGUAACAGAAUUAUGAUAUGUCGACACCACUGGCAACUUUAUUGUUCAGUGAAAAACAACGUUUCGACCAGAAUUUCUGGCCCUCUUCAGGUUUCAAGUUAGUAUACUCUCAACGUGAAACACCAUCCUUCAGUCCUUGGUGUGAGCAAUAAUUAUGGUGCAGUUUGUUCCGCCAGGUAAUAAUCAAUAGUAACAGAAUUAUGAUAUGUCGACACCACUGGCAACUUUAUUGUUCAGUGAAAAACAACGUUUCGACCAGAAUUUCUGGCCCUCUUCAGGUUUCAAGUUAGUAUACUCUCAACGUGAAACACCAUCCUUCAGUCCUUGGUGUGAGCAAUAAUUAUGGUGCAGUUUGUUCCGCCAGAUAAUAAUCAAUAGUAACAGAAUUAUGAUAUGUCGACACCACUGGCAACUUUAUUGUUCAGUGAAAAACAACGUUUUGACCAGAAUUUCUGGCCCUCUUCAGGUUUCAAGUUAGUAUACUCUCAACGUGAAACACCAUCCUUCAGUCCUUGGUGUGAGCAAUAAUUAUGGUGCAGUUUGUUCCGCCAGGUAAUAAUCAAUAGUAACAGAAUUAUGAUAUGUCGACACCACUGGCAACUUUAUUGUUCAGUGAAAAACAACGUUUUGACCAGAAUUUCUGGCCCUCUUCAGGUUUCAAGUUAGUAUACUCUCAACGUGAAACACCAUCCUUCAGUCCUUGGUGUGAGCAAUAAUUAUAGUGCAGUUUGUUCCGCCAGGUAAUAAUCAAUAGUAACAGAAUUAUGAUAUGUCGACACCACUGGCAACUUUAUUGUUCAGUGAAAAACAACGUUUUGACCAGAAUUUCUGGCCCUCUUCAGGUUUCAAGUUAGUAUACUCUCAACGUGAAACACCAUCCUUCAGUCCUUGGUGUGAGCAAUAAUUAUAGUGCAGUUUGUUCCGCCAGGUAAUAAUCAAUAGUAACAGAAUUAUGAUAUGUCGACACCACUGGCAACUUUAUUGUUCAGUGAAAAACAACGUUUUGACCAGAAUUUCUGGCCCUCUUCAGGUUUCAAGUUAGUAUACUCUCAACGUGAAACACCAUCCUUCAGUCCUUGGUGUGAGCAAUAAUUAUAGUGCAGUUUGUUCCGCCAGGUAAUAAUCAAUAGUAACAGAAUUAUGAUAUGUCGACACCACUGGCAACUUUAUUGUUCAGUGAAAAACAACGUUUUGACCAGAAUUUCUGGCCCUCUUCAGGUUUCAAGUUAGUAUACUCUCAACGUGAAACACCAUCCUUCAGUCCUUGGUGUGAGCAAUAAUUAUAGUGCAGUUUGUUCCGCCAGGUAAUAAUCAAUAGUAACAGAAUUAUGAUAUGUCGACACCACUGGCAACUUUAUUGUUCAGUGAAAAACAACGUUUUGACCAGAAUUUCUGGCCCUCUUCAGGUUUCAAGUUAAUAUACUCUCAGCGUGAAACACCAUCCUUCAGUCCUUGGUGUGAGCAAUAAUUAUGGUGCAGUUUGUUCCGCCAGAUAAUAAUCAAUAGUAACAGAAUUAUGAUAUGUCGACACCACUGGCAACUUUAUUGUUCAGUGAAAAACAACGUUUUGACCAGAAUUUCUGGCCCUCUUCAGGUUUCAAGUUAGUAUACUCUCAACGUGAAACACCAUCCUUCAGUCCUUGGUGUGAGCAAUAAUUAUAGUGCAGUUUGUUCCGCCAGGUAAUAAUCAAUAGUAACAGAAUUAUGAUAUGUCGACACCACUGGCAACUUUAUUGUUCAGUGAAAAACAACGUUUUGACCAGAAUUUCUGGCCCUCUUCAGGUUUCAAGUUAAUAUACUCUCAGCGUGAAACACCAUCCUUCAGUCCUUGGUGUGAGCAAUAAUUAUAGUGCAGUUUGUUCCGCCAGGUAAUAAUCAAUAGUAACAGAAUUAUGAUAUGUCGACACCACUGGCAACUUUAUUGUUCAGUGAAAAACAACGUUUUGACCAGAAUUUCUGGCCCUCUUCAGGUUUCAAGUUAGUAUACUCUCAACGUGAAACACCAUCCUUCAGUCCUUGGUGUGAGCAAUAAUUAUAGUGCAGUUUGUUCCGCCAGGUAAUAAUCAAUAGUAACAGAAUUAUGAUAUGUCGACACCACUGGCAACUUUAUUGUUCAGUGAAAAACAACGUUUUGACCAGAAUUUCUGGCCCUCUUCAGGUUUCAAGUUAGUAUACUCUCAACGUGAAACACCAUCCUUCAGUCCUUGGUGUGAGCAAUAAUUAUGGUGAAAAACAACGUUUUGACCAGAAUUUCAGAAAUGUUGUUUUUCACUGAACAAUAAAGUUGCCAGUGGUAUCGACGUAUCAUAAUUCUGUUACUAUUGAUUAUUACCUGGCGGAACAAACUGCACUAUAAUUAUUUUGAUAAUCGUAUUAUGUUUUAUUAUUUAACGCAUUAAAAUGCGCAAAUCGAGUUAACGUCGUCUAGCAAGCAUCUCUCUUUUUAUAUGAUCCAAACGCUUCCACUUUAGCGAUCCGAGUCAACAAGCAUCGCGUUUAUGAGAUCGGAGUGAGAUGCGCGCAAGUGUUUUCGAGUGAUGUCAGGCGGACGUCUCUCGCGAUGGCAAACUCGCUCACGGUCCCUGUGUCGAGACAAUAAAGGACGAUUGCCGCGAAGGAGCGGGCAUUAUAUCGGACGAUUACGGCAAGCCGCCGGCGAGCUGCGUGGGGCCGCGUAAAUACGAGAUAACAUCCGAUGUUGACGUUGAAAAACAUCUCGCAACACGGCAAUGAGACCGUCGGUCAAAUGUCACGCUGUUGAAUUUAGAUAACAAGCGUUAUGUAUCGCAGCGAUCGCUACAAUCAUUUUAAUAACUGCUCUUACAAUAUCUUUUUUUAAACAAAACCGUUAAAACUUCUCACAUCGAAGCAAGAUGGGCGAUGAAACUUCUUUAUUAUUUCCAGACAUGACAACAGCCUUAUUAUAUUGAAAUACAAGAUAACUAAUGCAACAAUUUAGUUUUUUCAUGAAUGAAGUGAUUACAUGGUGUUUACUUGAACAUACAUCUUGCUACAUUUUCCUCUAUAACGUUUGAUAAAUAGUUAAUAUUUGAUAGAGAUAAUUAGGAUUAUGCAUAAGCAAAAUGUACUCUGUAAAACUUUGAAAAUUUGUUACAUUAAAUUUCUGUUUUUUUUACAGC